rnacentral:rRNA from 1 species
CCUACGGGGAGCAGCAGUGGGGAAUAUUGGGCAAUGGGCGCAAGCCUGACCCAGCAACGCCGCGUGAAGGAAGAAGGCUGUCGGGUUGUAAACUUCGGUUCUCAGGGACGAAGAAAGUGACGGUACCGGAGGAAUAAGCCACGGCUAACUACGUGCCAGCAGCCGCGGUAAUACGUAGGUGGCAAGCGUUAUACGGAUUUAUUGGGUGUAAAGGGCGUGUCGGCGGGAGCGCAAGUCAGAUGGGACAACUCAGGGCUCCACCCUGAGCCUGCAUUUGAAACUGUGUUUCUUGAGUGCUGGAGCGGCAAUCGGACUUCCGUGUGUCGCGGUGAAAUGCGUAGCUAUACGGAGGAACACCAGUGGCGAAGGCGGUUUGCUGGACCGUAACUGCCGCUGCGGCGCGACAGCGU